UAUUAUAAUACUUGGCUUUUGGGACAUAUUCUUAGAGAUCUUUAAGAUAUGUAUAUUGUAAAAUCUUAACAUAUGUUGAAAGCUCAAUUAUAUAAUAUUACUAUAUGUCAAAUUAUUUUGAGACUACAUAAUGCAUAUCUAAUAAUUGUGUUUACAAUAAUCCUAUAUAAAUAGAGGUUGAUGAGCAAGCGACUAAGUUGCAAUCACAUUUCGUUUGGAUCAUCUAUCACCAACUUUCAAACUUUCAAUUUUUUUUAUAGUUUCCUAGUUUUUGGAAAAAUGGUUUUACUUUUUGUAAGAAACUUGUACAACAAAACAUAAAUAUAACUACACAUAUUAGACGAAGUUAUUGCGUAUAUUAAAAAUUUAUAAAAGACUUGAUUGGAUUUUAUUGUUUGCAGAAAGAGGAGCUUCAAUUUAAGGUUGGAUCUAUUGACGAAGGGACUAGAUAUGACGCAUUACGAUGUAUCGCUAAUUGUGAAGGUACACCAACUCAACCAAAUAUGUAGUUGUAUUGAGCUAAAAUAAACCAUUCGUUAGAGAUAUAGGGAUUUUAUGUAGAUCAUUUUAUUAGGCUUAAUAUUUUAGUCAUUUACUUAUUUGGUAAAUAACAAGAAUAUACAUUCAUUCAUUGUUGAUUGAAAAAACUUGGACAUGAUAAAUUGGUAUGUGACUUCCAAUAUUUUAUAAUGUAUAUUUUGUAGAUGGAUGGAUAGAAUAAUAACCAACACAUUAAAAUGGCAAUAUAUAACACAUUUUCACUAAAAAUGUUUUGCCAUAAACUGCAAGUUCUCUAAAUUAAACAAUGUUUACAAAUGUUUUUAUUUUGUUUUGUUUUGUUAGGAGUUGCUUUUGUUGAUUUUGAUGAGGAAGAGGCCACAAUAAUUGUGAAGAGAGAAAAACUCGAUGAAUGUAAAAUUAAGAAAAAAUUAGAUAAAUUUUUGAAUGAAUCUAAAGGAGGAUGUUUCUCUUGUUUUAGUCGCUAAUAAUUUUUGGAGAAGAAGUGAAGUGAACUGGUAAUGGAAAUCAACUUUCAAAAUAAAAUGAAGUUAAAAGAAAUUACAAAUAGAUUCUCAUUUGUAUUUCUCCCUAUUAUAAUCUACAACAUCAU
rnacentral:sRNA from 1 species